CAACCAAUGAUCAUGGCACUAGGAAGUUC
rnacentral:sRNA from 1 species